CGUGCUUAACACAUGCAAGUCGAACGGAAAGGUCUCUUCGGAGAUACUCGAGUGGCGAACGGGUGAGUAACACGUGGGCAAUCUGCCCUGCACUUCGGGAUAAGCCUGGGAAACUGGGUCUAAUACCGGAUAUGACCUCGAGGCGCAUGCCUUGUGGUGGAAAGCUUUUGCGGUGUGGGAUGGGCCCGCGGCCUAUCAGCUUGUUGGUGGGGUGAUGGCCUACCAAGGCGACGACGGGUAGCCGGCCUGAGAGGGUGUCCGGCCACACUGGGACUGAGAUACGGCCCAGACUCCUACGGGAGGCAGCAGUGGGGAAUAUUGCACAAUGGGCGCAAGCCUGAUGCAGCGACGCCGCGUGGGGGAUGACGGCCUUCGGGUUGUAAACCUCUUUCACCAUCGACGAAGGUCCGGGGUUUCUCGGAUUGACGGUAGGUGGAGAAGAAGCACCGGCCAACUACGUGCCAGCAGCCGCGGUAAUACGUAGGGUGCGAGCGUUGUCCGGAAUUACUGGGCGUAAAGAGCUCGUAGGU
rnacentral:rRNA from 1 species